CAAAUUACAAAAAAAUGCAUCUAAUAAUUAAUUAAAGUCGCAAAAAUAGCUAGCUAUCGUUUUGUAGUACACGCGUGUACGUACAGCAAUUAAUUGGUACGUACUCCACUAUGGGGGUUGCGUUCCUCUAAUACACGCAUUGAUAGAUAGAUAUUCCAAAAAGAUGAAGACGACUACGACAACAUGCAUUCACAUUUUAUAAUUACAUCAACAUCAAACUAAUAGCUAGAGGAGAUCCAAUCAUUCGAUCGAGCCUGGCCUGGCCUGCUUGGAAUAUAUAUAUCCCUUCCAAAUGAAGAAGCAAAAGUGAAAACCUUAGCAAGGAUUCAAGUAAUUUGGAGGAGGCAGCAUGCUCGUUGCUUCGGUGCUCCCAUUCUUCACAAUUAGAACUGUAUCCAUUCCCCAACUAGAAUGUCUUUCUAAAUGACAAUGCAUGUACCAUACCCC